rnacentral:rRNA from 1 species
CGGGCGCUGACGAGUGGCGGACGGGUGAGUAACGCGUUGGGAUCUGCCCCGAACUCAGGGAUAACAUCGAGAAAUCGGUGCUAAUACCGGAUAGUCUCGCAAGAGUAAAGAUUUUUCGGUUCGGGAGGAACCUGCGUCCUAUUAGCUAGUUGGUAAGGUAAUGGCUUACCAAGGCGAUGAUGGGUAGCUGGUCUGAGAGGAUGAUCAGCCACACUGGGACUGAGACACGGACCAGACUCC